AAUGAACGCUGGCGGCGCGCCUAAUACAUGCAAGUCGAGCGAGAAGACGUAGCAAUACGUUUGUAAAGCGGCGAACGGGUGAGGAAUACAUGGGUAACCUACCCUAGAGUGGGGAAUAACUAGCCGAAAGGUUAGCUAAUACCGCGUACGCUCCUUGGACUUCGGUUCAGGGAGGAAAGCGAUGCCGAGGGUAUCGCGCUCUUGGAUGGGCUCAUGUCCUAUCAGCUUGNGGUGAGGUAACGGCUCACCAAGGCUUCGACGGGUAGCUGGUCUGAGAGGACGAUCAGCCACACUGGCACUGCGACACGGGCCAGACUCCUACGGGAGGCAGCAGUAAGGAAUAUUGCGCAAUGGGCGAAAAGCCUGACGCAGCGACGCCGCGUGGGGGGAGUG
rnacentral:rRNA from 1 species